AAUACCUGCAAGGACAGCUUCUCUGCUGUGCCUGUGACACCAGGGCAAAGACAAAGACAGCAUGGCUCUUACUAUGCUCUGUGCUUGAAAACCUGUGGGCACUGAGACGGGGCUGUAGCCUGACACUU
rnacentral:snoRNA from 1 species